rfam:Apaloderma vittatum contig47356, whole genome shotgun sequence.
GGCUGGUUAGCUCAGUCAGUUGAGCGUAGCGCUAACAAUGCUAAGGUCAUGAGUUCAAUUUCCAUUUGGUCCC